GAAUCUAUAAAUAGGUAUAAAAACAAAAAGCAGAAAUUAUGACAAAUUUAAAAUAUUCUGUGAUCUACUACUUUCAUUUGUUAAAAGCUUUUUUGUUUGAAAAUAUUUUUAAAAAUGUCACCAGGAGUUUUUGUCCAACAGAGGUGGCUACUGUAUCUGUUAGCUUAGCAACAGACUAGUGCAGUUCGUUUUUACAGACACUAGAUGGCGCCGCUCUCCGUACUGACUAAUAUCCAGAUAAAACCGUCAUGUCGAAGUAGAAAGCGCAGCAGUGCUUCGUGUGCAAACGAUUCUUCAGGUCACAGCUAAAGUUAAAACUGAUUUUAUAAACUUAUUUGGAAAAACACAAACAGAACAUAAAACUGUACAACUGCAAAAAUGAAGAAAAAACAUCCGCGGGCUAGUCAGACCUGUCAGUGACUAAAGCUUUUGUGAUUAUGUCGAAUUAAACAUGUUAGCUUAGCUAGGUUAGCCCGACUCCUCCUGUGAAGCAGAUGAGUCAAAGUCAGCAGCAGCCAUGACCUCUGACCCCGCAGACCAGCCUUACUCCUUGUGAAGCAGAAAACAACAAGCUGCUGCUUCACUUUGGACCAAUCAGAGCAGGAGGCGGAGCCAAAACGACCUGCAGGUGACUUGUACCUGAGUCCCCCGACCGACAGGUGUCCGUAGGAGCUGCUGGCGGCUGAACUGGACCGCGAGUUGUUGAUGUACGCCACCAAGGAGUUGGGCGAAGUUCUGAUCAUGGUCUGGAGGUCGA